rnacentral:rRNA from 1 species
CAGUAGCGUAUAUUAAAGUUGUUGCAGUUAAAAAGCUCGUAGUUGGAUUUCUGGUGGGAGCGAUCGGUCUGGCGCUUAGCGCGAGUACUUGCAUCGUCUCCGGCCAUCCUUGGGGAGAGUCUGUCUGGCAUUAGGUUGUCGGGCAGAGGAUCCUCAUCGUUUACUGUGAAAAAAUUAGAGUGUUCAAAGCAGGCUUAUGCCGUUGAAUAUAUUAGCAUGGAAUAAUAAGAUAGGACUUUGGUACUAUUUUGUUGGUUUGCGCACCAAAGUAAUGAUUAAUAGGGACAGUUGGGGGUAUUCGUAUUCCGUUGUCAGAGGUGAAAUUCUUGGAUUUACGGAAGACGAACUACUGCGAAAGCAUUUACCAAGGAUGUUUUCAUUAA